rnacentral:rRNA from 1 species
CUGGUGAUUCAUAAUAACUUCACGAAUCGCAUGGCCUUGUGCCGGGCGAUGGUUCAUUCAAAUUUCUGCCCUAUCAACUUUCGACGGCUGGGUAUUGGCCAGCCGUGGUUACAACGGGUAACGGAGGGUUAGGGCUUGACCCCGGAGAAGGAGCCUGAGAAACGGCUACUACAUCCAAGGAAGGCAGCAGGCGCGCAAAUUACCCAAUCCCGACUCGGGGAGGUAGUGACAAUAAAUACUGAUACAGGGCUCUUUUGGGUCUUGUAAUUGGAAUGAGUACAAUUUAAAUCCCUUAACGAGGAACAAUUGGAGGGCAAGUCUGGUGCCAGCAGCCGCGGUAAUUCCAGCUCCAAUAGCGUAUAUUAAAGUUGUUGCAGUUAAAAAGCUCGUAGUUGAACCUUGGGCCUGGCUGGCCGGUCUGCCUCACCGCAUGCACUGGUCCGGCCGGGCCUUUCCCUCUGGGGAUCCGCAUGCCCUUCACUGGGUGUGUCGGGGAACCAGGACUUUUACUGUGAAAAAAUUAGAGUGUUCAAAGCAGGCAUAUGCUCGAAUACAUUAGCAUGGAAUAAUAGAAUAGGACGUCGCGGUUCUAUUUUGUUGGUUUCUAGGACCGCCGUAAUGAUUAAUAGGGACAGUCGGGGGCAUCAGUAUUCAAUCGUCAGAGGUGAAAUUCUUGGAUCGAUUGAAGACUAACUACUGCGAAAGCAUUUGCCAAGGAUGUUUUCAUUAAUCAGGAACGAAAGUUAGGGGAUCGAAAACGAUCAGAUACCGUUGUAGUCUUAACCAUAAACUAUGCCGACUAGGGAUCGGGCGGUGUUAUUUCUUGACCCGCUCGGCACCUUACACGAAAGUAAAG